GCCCGGUUUCGGCGAUGGGUUAUAGGGUCCGCGUCAGCCCCGCGCCCGCACAGCCAACGUCACGCCGCAUUCUUAUUUCCAAAGACCCCUGGAGCUUGGGGUCCCACCCCAGCGGUCUUUCGGGGCGUCCCCUGCCCUUCACGCGCCGCGCCGGCUCGGCCCGAAGCGCCCUGCGGACCCGCAGCCUGGGCCGCCCCGAACCUGACGGCCCCGCGGGGGUCGGACGCGGGAGGAACGGCCUCGCUUUCAGAGACGCAGCGGGAGGGCGGUCCCCGCUGUCCCUCUGGCCGGGUCCUCAGCACGCGUUCUCCUCACUCCCAGGACUAGCGAGCGGCGGGCGCGGACCGGGGCCUGGGGUCGGAGGCGGCGCAGCCAGAAAGGCCCCAGCGGCGCUGAGACGUUUGGGGGAAGGCGGGGGCUUCGCGUUUCGAUGGCGGGAAGCGGAAUGAGGUUGGACCGGCCGGGCCGGCGUUCAGGGACCCGGCGGGAGGCGGAGGGCUGGCGUCCUCGCGGACAUCCAUCUGCAGCGAACCAGGCAGAGGCUUUGGGAUUAGAUCCUUGACUCCUUGCGUCAGUAGUUAAGGUUUGUUUAAAUAUAAAAUGGGAUGGCCCUUCUUACAAGGUUGCUGGAGGAUUAAAUGAAUAGGCAUGUGGAAAGCACCUAGUAUAAUAAGGCUCGGUAGUUUCUUCCAUCAGGGCUGGAAGAGACCACGGAGCCUGCUUUCCUCCUUCGGCGUUUGGAUCUCACAUAUCCCUUCUUCUCUGGCGAUCAAAAAUCCCUAUCUUCUGUAGAGAUCCCUUUUACAGAUCAGUG
rnacentral:lncRNA from 1 species